CCUACGGGGGGCAGCAGUGGGGAAUCUUGCGCAAUGGGCGAAAGCCUGACGCAGCGACGCCGCGUGAGUGAUGAAGGCCUUCGGGUUGUAAAGCUCUGUGGGGAGAGAAGAAUUAGUGUGGGCUAAUCACCACAUGAUGACGGUAUCUCCUUAGCAAGCACCGGCUAACUCUGUGCCAGCAGCCGCGGUAAGACAGAGGGUGCAAACGUUGUUCGGAAUUACUGGGCGUAAAGCGUGUGUAGGCGGUCUGAUGAGUCGGAUGUGAAAGCCCCGGGCUCAACCCGGGAAGUGCACUCGAUACUGUUAGGCUAGAGUACUGGAGAGGUUGGUGGAAUUCUCGGUGUAGAGGUGAAAUUCGUAGAUAUCGAGAGGAACACCGGUGGCGAAGGCGGCCAACUGGACAGAUACUGACGCUGAGACACGAAAGCGUGGGGAGCAAACAGGAUUAGAUACCCUGGUAGUC
rnacentral:rRNA from 1 species